GAACACCCGAUGGCGAAAGGCAGGUCUCUGGGCUGUAACUGACGCUGAGAAGCGAAAAGCAUGGGGAGCGAACAGGAUUAGAUACCCUGGUAGUCCAUGCCGUAAUACGUUGGGCACUAGGUGUGGGGGACAUUCCACGUUUUCCGCGCCGUAGCUAACGCAUUAAGUGCCCCGCCUGGGGAGUACGGCCGCAAGGCUAAAACUCAAAGAAAUUGACGGGGGCCCGCACAAGCGGCGGAGCAUGCGGAUUAAUUCGAUGCAACGCGAAGAACCUUACCAAGGCUUGACAUAUACUGGACUCCCCUAGAGAUAGGGUUUCCCUUCGGGGCUGGUAUACAGGUGGUGCAUGGUUGUCGUCAGCUCGUGUCGUGAGAUGUUGGGUUAAGUCCCGCAACGAGCGCAACCCUCGUUCUAUGUUGCCAGCACGUGAUGGUGGGGACUCAUAGGAGACUGCCGGGGUCAACUCGGAGGAAGGUGGGGAUGACGUCAAAUCAUCAUGCCCCUUAUGUCUUGGGCUUCACGCAUGCUACAAUGGCCGGUACAAAGGGUUGCGAUACUGUGAGGUUGAGCUAAUCCCAAAAAGCCGGUCUCAGUUCGGAUUGGGGUCUGCAACUCGACCCCAUGAAGUCGGAGUCGCUAGUAAUCGCAGAUCAGCAACG
rnacentral:rRNA from 1 species